GGAGAAAAGUUUGAAGCUGUUGUACCUUUCAUGGGUGAAUCUGUAACUGAUGGAACUCUUGCUACCUUCUUAAAGAAACCCGGUGACAGAGUUGAGGCUGAUGAGGCCAUAGCUCAGAUUGAAACUGAUAAGGUCACCAUUGAUGUUUCUAGUCCUGAAGCUGGUGUUCUUGAAAAGUAUAUUGCUAGCGAAGGGGAUACUGUUACUCCAGGCACCAUAGUUGCUAUUGUAUCAAAGUCUGAAGCGA